UACAGAGGGCUCAAGCGUUGUUCGGAUUCAUUGGGCGUAAAGGGUGCGUAGGUGGCGGGGUUAGUCAGGUGUGAAAUCUCGGAGCUCAACUCCGAAACUGCACUUGAUACUGCCUUGCUAGAGUACUGGAGAGGAGAUUGGAAUUUACGGUGUAGCAGUGAAAUGCGUAGAUAUCGUAAGGAAGACCAGUGGCGAAGGCGAAUCUCUGGACAGUUACUGACACUGAGGCACGAAGGCCAGGGGAGCAAACGGG
rnacentral:rRNA from 1 species